rnacentral:lncRNA from 1 species
UUUAUGUAAAUGAAAAAUGCAGAGCAAUUAUGCUACUGCCAAUAAUAAUGGUCUAAAGUCUGACAAUCUAUAAUAAAUUGUAAGAUUGAGUGGUAAGUGUAAAAGAGAAAUUAUAUUUCAGUAUGUGUAUGAUAAUUGGAAAAGUGUAGAAUUAUGAAUCUUUAUGUUAUGAUUGGUGGUUCUAAGGGAAUGAAGGUCGGGUUUUAAAAUGAUGAACGCAAAGCAUAAUUCAUGUAACGGGUGGUAGUUUUAACAUGUAUUGUUUCUGCAGAAUAAUGGUAUUUAAUUAGGUAUGAAAGGCGGAUGUUAUUAGAAGGGAUUUAGGGGUUUUUGAGUUGAAAGGAAAAAAAAAAAAUCACUCUGGUUAAAUAGCUGUUGUGUUUAAUUAUGAAGUUUUUUUUUUAUGAUUUUAUAAAAUUAUUAUAGCAACUUUAAACUAGGAAUGAUUGGCACUGUAAAACUUGGAAAUCUAAUUUGGCCUGCAUUGAAUUAGAGAAGGAAGUAAUUGAUUAAAAUACUAUUAAUAUUAAUAAGAANUCUAAAUGCACUUCUGACUGCUUUCCAGUAUUAUGAUUGAUGAUGUCUUAUUAUAUAUAUUUGUUAUAUAUUUGGGACGUCACAUUUAUGGUAUCAGAGCAGUUUGUUCCUAGGAUAACCUACGGGUGGGUUUGUCGUGCCUCUCCUGUGGAAAGUUGAGUUUGAAUGGUAUGUUCUACCAUUUAUUCUAAGUCUAGAUAUUAAAGUUGUGUAUCUAACGGGAAGUAUUGAGAACAGAAAACAUCUUGAUAAGGGUAGUGAGGGUGCACACUCAUGACUCUAUAUCAGAGAUGAUUUUCCUUUCUUAAUUCUAACCCCCAUUUGGACCUCUAAAAUUUCCCUAGCCAGGAGGAGUGAAAGCUUGCCUGUUAUUUUUUAUUCUAGUAUCAACAUUAACAUUCCCCUGAGCUUGCCUUNGCCAAUUCCGAUUCGGUGGGGGCGACCUGAAUGCAUCUCUUGUUCCUCGACCUUGGUAGUUGUUCAUGUUAUUUGAUGUUUGCUGGAAUCUGUUUCUUGGCUCUACUCUUUUGUACCUAUUCUCAGUCUCAGCAGGAGGAACUUGUGUCAUAUAUUUUUAUUAAUAAAAAUAAUAAUAGUACUUUAAAGAAAUUUAAUUGAUUAGAAAUGNCAACUAUAUACNUACAAAAAUUAAUCCCAUAAAAACUAUAUUAAUAAUAUUUAGCUUACAANUACAACAUUGUUUCUUGAAUACUACAGAGACAAUAUAGAAUCUAAUUCAAACCCAAACAGUAAAGAGAGUACCUUCACUUGAUAACCCUUCUCCAUUAACUUUCUAACCAUAUCGGCUUUGUUCUUCAGGUCUUGUGCUCCCUGAAAACAUCAACAGUGUUGGAAAUGUAAUUGAUUUAUGUUCAUAAUGAAAAAAAAAAGUUAUAUUAAACAUGUCUUUGUUAAUUUUCUUCCUUAGUUAAUGAAUUUUUUUUUUUUACUUUUCCUUAUAUCUGGAAGAGUGAAAGAUGUUCUGAUAUUGAAUCGUAUAUUUGGACCUAGUUUUCCACUAUGAAUAGAGGCUAUAAUAAUUUCUCUUAAACUUUUAUUUAAACAUAGUACAUAUAUAAUAUAAUUUGACAUUUUUAAAUACCUUGACUACUCCAAUUACUAUUUAGAGACUAUAACAUCUCAGUUUCAUGAUUUUUCUACAACUUUGAUCCUAUGAACCUAUCAUAGAACUAAUCUUUAAGCCCUUAAACUUUGAUUCUGCUAAUCGAUUUUAGAACAAAUAUUUAAUCUGAAGCUUGGACACGCUCAAUCAUUUUAGUUGCCCUGUUUUCUUUUCCAUGUUAUUUUGAAGUAUUGUGCAAUUUAAUGCUCCUG